UGGGGAAUCUUCCGCAAUGGACGAAAGUCUGACGGAGCAACGCCGCGUGAGUGAUGACGGCCUUCGGGUUGUAAAGCUCUGUUAAUCGGGACGAAAGGCCUUCUUGCGAAUAGUUAGAAGGAUUGACGGUACCGGAAUAGAAAGCCACGGCUAACUACGUGCCAGCAGCCGCGGUAAUACGUAGGUGGCAAGCGUUGUCCGGAAUUAUUGGGCGUAAAGCGCGCGCAGGCGGAUUGGUCAGUCUGUCUUAAAAGUUCGGGGCUUAACCCCGUGAUGGGAUGGAAACUGCCAAUCUAGAGUAUCGGAGAGGAAAGUGGAAUUCCUAGUGUAGCGGUGAAAUGCGUAGAUAUUAGGAAGAACACCAGUGGCGAAGGCGACUUUCUGGACGAAAACUGACGCUGAGGCGCGAAAGCCAGGGGAGCGAACGGGAUUAGAUACCCCGGUAGUCCUGGCCGUAAACAUUACUAGGUGUAGGAGGUAUCGACCCCUUCUGUGCCGGAGUUAACGCAAUAAGUACCCCGCCUGGGGAGUACGACCGCAAGGUUG
rnacentral:rRNA from 1 species